CUACUGUGUCCACUCAGUAGUAUACAUAUACUACUAAUUGCUGGUAUGUGUUAUAAUAAUGAAUAAUCAAUAAAUAGAAAUAAAAUUAAUUUUUAAUAGACAGGGGAAAAAACAGACAACCUGUUAUCUUUAUUUACCUGAUCUCUUGACUUAGCCGUUUAAACCAACCAAAGAAAUUUAUACACGUUUUGAUCAUACAUAUUUAUCGCGUCACCGCUUUCUUACACGUUUACACCGGUUCUGGAUCCCUGUUUUAAUACAAUCGUUUGCUCACUUACAAAACGCACCUUUACUGGUAUCUGUAUACAAACAUACAUCGAAAAUGGAUUGGAAGCGAAUGCUGGUGUUGCCGGCAUUAUUGCUAAUUCUGAAUAUAGUUACCGCAGAUGAUGAAGUUGAACUUGAAGACAAAGUAGUAGUGAAAGCAGUUGUUGAAGUAAGUUUUAUGUUUUUAUUGAAAACCUCAGGGUGUACAGGGCCAACAAGGGUACUUAUAAAGUGAGAAACGGAAUCGAAACGAAACGAAACGAAAUAUAACGAAACGAAACGAAAUACAGAAAACGCACGAACGAAAGUGAAAAAUGAAGAACGAAAUAGCACGAAUGAAUCUGGGGUACUUAUAAAGUGAGAAACGGAAUCGAAACGAAACGAAACGAAAUAUAACGAAACGAAACGAAAUACAACGAAACGCAACGAAAUACAACGAAACGAAACGAAAUGAAAAAAUGAAGAAACGAAAUACAACGAAAUGAAUCUGACCCUUAUGUUAUGCAAUUGUGUGGUGCUGUUGAUGUAGUUAUCAUUGUUACAACCACGCUAAAACAGUAUGUAAGAUGAAAAGAAAAACUCCUUUGAUCUCUUAAUUGAGGAUUGUAAAUUAAUUUAUUGUUUAUUGAAAGACUGCAUACUUUUCUACAACCCCGUGUGGACGUGCUACCCGUUCUGACGUACAAUAUAACACUUUGAUGUUCCAAAAAAAUACUUUUUUAAAGGGCAUUGUCUUUCAUCCUGUCGGCUCCCUUUAUCAUGCCUGAGUUUAUAUAUGGGUAAGUUGUGAGCGUGAGAAAAAAAAUCAAAGGUCUUUGAAGUUUUCUAAAACGCAUUCAGCACCAGAUGUUGCACGGGCUCCAGCCGGGUAUAUAUAAAAGGAAUAUUUUUUAUUCAACCGUUAUUACGCAAAAUGGAGCCCAAUGAGAAGGAAAAGAAAAUGUAAGUACCCUUAUACAUGUACAUUUUAAAAUUUAUUUCGACAGUGUUAGUAGUUAAGGAAACAGAACUUAAAAACAUUUUGAUGUUGAGUCAUUGCAAUUUUUAGUAGCUAACCAGCUGAUAUCUGAUAUCUUUAUAGACCAUAAUGGCAAAAUAUUUCAAUAGCCCAGGUCAUAAUAAAUUGUGAAUAAAAAAAUGAUUUAUUUUAAGAGUAUUUUAGGGGUUUGAGGGUUAAUGUAUAUAAAUGGUCUUUAACGUCCAGUGGCAAGUUAAAUAAAUAUUCAGGACGAGAACAUUAGGGACGACAUCAAAAGUUCAAUGAAGGAUAAAAAACUUAAUUCAAAUAGUUUUUUCACUGACCCCCUACCCCCUAUUAACUUAAUUUGGGAAAAAUUGAUUGACCCAUAUGGAUAUAUGUAAAAAUCAAUGUCGGAUAACCAAAUCUUGCAGCAGUUUCAACCCCCACCCCAAACUAUUUGAAUUAAGUUUUUUUUAUCUUACAUUGAUCUUUUGAUGUCGUCCCUUAAUAUAAUAAGAUAUGAAUGUUUUACCCUGUUUUUGUGCAAGAAUUUCGAAAACGAUUCCACUCUGGUUUUUGUCUAUGUAUUUCUAUUUGUAUCCAUCUGAUGAGUUAAGCCCUUUUCAAUUGAUUUUUAUAGUUCGUUCCUAUAUUUUACUGUUACAUCACUGUCCACGUUAGGGGAGGGUUGGGAUCCCGCUAACAUGUUUACCCCGCCACAGUAUGCAUGUAUGUGUAUAUGUAUGUGCCUGUCCCAAGUCAGGAGCCUGUAAUUCAGUGGUUGCCGUUUGUUGCUGUGUUACAUAUUUGGUUUUUUUUUCGUUAAUUUUUUGUACAUUAAUUAGGCCGUUAGUUUUCUCGUUUGAAUGGUUUUACAUUUGUCAUUUCGGGGCAUUUUAUAGCUGACUAUGCGGUACGGGCUUUGCUCAUUGUUGAAGACCGUCCAAUAUAGGAACGAACUAUAAAAAGCCGUUGAAAAAAAAUCUUUUGGCCUUUAUAUCAGAAACGGAGAACUAUUGGGUACUACGGGAGUUUUUAACGACCUUGACUGGCUAUAAAGCCCUUGCACGGUCGGUACUAUUGGGGAAAAACAAGUUCCUGUCCUAAUAAUUUUUUUCGAAUAUAAGUACUUACAUAGCAUUUUAACCGACCGAUUAAACUCGGUAAAUCCGAGAAACUUGAGAAAGGGGAGAUCAUUUUUUCUUGUGAGGGGCGUCACCAUUUAAAUAUUUGUGUUCGUGACUCUUUCUGCACGGCAAAUUCAAUCCCUUUUACACCACCCGUAUUGAAAUCAUGGACCUGCCCAAUUACAGGGUCGUUGAAAAGACUUCUUUAUACAUGACAUUUGUAUAAUUGAAUUUGAAAAUAUCUUUUCUAUAUAAUAGUUUUAUUUUGAAGUAUUUGUAUUAUGAUUGAGGAAAAUUUCUUUUGAACUAAAAGGGCUGGGGAGGGGCAAUAUAUUUGAUGCUUUUGAAGAGGGUUUCGUUUCUUCAUUUUUACAUUUCGUUUCGUUUCGUUGUAUUUCGUUGCGUUUCGUUGUAUUUCGUUCGUUUCGUUAUAUUUCGUUUUUUCGUUUCGUUUCGAUUCCGUUUCUCACUUUAUAAGUACCUGGGCCAACAAUGGCAACAGUAAUAAUUGACAGUAUAAAUAAGACUUUUAGCCAAAGGGGUGUCAGAUCAUUAUGAUUAUUUCUAUUUUAUGUAUCUUUUUAAUUUUUACUAUUUCAUUCCAUUCUUUAUUCAAAUGACCAUUGAUUUCUAUUAUAUCCGUCUUAUACAUCUUUGACACAUUACCCAUUUUCAUUUUCAAUUUUAUGAAAUAUUUGCCACUGAACAGGCAUCAAAAAAUCAUGCAAUGGUCUGCAUGUGCAUUUGGUCGGUAUGGGAACCCUCAUGCCUUAUGGGUAUGAGUCAUUAGUGUUUUUCUGUAUGUGGCUACCUAUGGCAGUAUGGGUAAAUCCAGAACAUUGUAUACAAACAUAUUCAUAUUGUGUUUGUAAGGGAUUAUUUAAUACUAUGUUAACAAAGUUUUUUUGUUUAUUGUAGAGUUGUGGUGGAUGACGUUUGAACCGACUUCCAGAGGUCAAGAGAUUCAUCUAUGAUGAUAUCCCUCUGUUGUAUCCUUUACUUGUAUUCACUAAACAGGGGUUCAAAUUUGAUUUAAAUAAUGAAAGGUCCAGGACCAUUUGAAAUUCUAAGUGAAACAGGGGUUAAAAAAUCCACUAGCCCGACGCC
rnacentral:lncRNA from 1 species